CACGUAGGCACCAAGCGUUGUCCGGAUUUAUUGGGCGUAAAGAGCUCGUAGGCGGUUCAGUAAGUCGGGUGUGAAAACUCUGGGCUUAACCCAGAGACGCCACCCGAUACUGCUGUGACUUGAGUACGGUAGGGGAGCAGGGAAUUCCUGGUGUAGCGGUGAAAUGCGCAGAUAUCAGGAGGAACACCGGUGGCGAAGGCGCUGCUCUGGGCCGAUAUUGACGCUGAGGAGCGAAAGCGUGGGGAGCGAACAGG
rnacentral:rRNA from 1 species